GAUGAACGCUAGCGAUAGGCUUAACACAUGCAAGUCGAGGGGCAGCGAGGGUAGCACUACCUGUCGGCGACCGGCGCACGGGUGAGUAACGCGUAUGUAACCUGCCCGCAACAGGGGGAUAACCCGGCGAAAGUCGGACUAAUACCGCAUAAAACAGGGGUCCCGCAUGGGAAUAUUUGUUAAAGAUUUAUCGGUUGCGGAUGGGCAUGCGUACCAUUAGGUAGUUGGUGAGGUAACGGCUCACCAAGCCUUCGAUGGUUAGGGGUUCUGAGAGGAAGGUCCCCCACACUGGUACUGAGACACGGACCAGACUCCUACGGGAGGCAGCAGUGAGGAAUAUUGGUCAAUGGGCGAGAGCCUGAACCAGCCAAGUCGCGUGAAGGAUGACUGCCCUAUGGGGUGUAAACUUCUUUUACAAGGGAAUAAAAUGAGAUACGUGUAUUUUAUUGCAUGUACCUUGGGAAUAAGCAUCGGCUAACUCCGUGC
rnacentral:rRNA from 1 species